rnacentral:rRNA from 1 species
GAUGAACGCUAGCGGCAGGCUUAAUACAUGCAAGUCGAGGGGCAGCACAGAUAGCAAUAUUGGGUGGCGACCGGCAAACGGGUGCGGAACACGUACACAACCUUCCUUUUGGUGGGGGAUAGCCUUUGGAAACGGAGAUUAAUACCCCAUAAGAUAUUGGGACCGCAUGGUUUUGAUAUUAAAGAUUUAUUGCCAGAAGAUGGGUGUGCGUAUGAUUAGGUAGUUGGUGAGGUAAAGGCUCACCAAGCCGACGAUCAUUAACUGGUGUGAGAGCACGACCAGUCACACGGGCACUGAGACACGGGCCCGACUCCUACGGGAGGCAGCAGUAAGGAAUAUUGGUCAAUGGACGGAAGUCUGAACCAGCCAUGCCGCGUGGAGGAUGAAGGUCCUCUGGAUUGUAAACUUCUUUUAUAUGGGGCGAAAAAGGGCCAUUCUUGGUCAACUGACGGUACCAUAUGAAUAAGCACCGGCUAACUCCGUGCCAGCCGCCGCCGUAACAC